rnacentral:rRNA from 1 species
GACGAACGCUGGCGGCGUGCCUAACACAUGCAAGUCGAGCGGGAUCCAUCCGGUGGCAACACCGGUGAAGAUCUAGCGGCGAACGGGUGAGUAACACGUGAGAAACCUGCCCCGAACUUCGGGAUAACACGGGGAAACCCGUGCUAAUACCGAAUACCCUCUACCGGUCGCAUGGCCGGAAGCGGAAAGAUUCAUCGGUUCGGGAGGGUCUCGCGGCCUAUCAGCUAGUUGGCGGGGUAACGGCCCACCAAGGCAUCGACGGGUAGCUGGUCUGAGAGGACGAUCAGCCACACUGGGACUGAGACACGGCCCAGACUCCUACGGGAGGCAGCAGUGGGGAAUCUUGCGCAAUGGGCGAAAGCCUGACGCAGCAACGCCGCGUGCGGGAUGAAGGCCUUCGGGUUGUAAACCGCUUUCAGCAGGGAAGAAAAUGACGGUACCUGCAGAAGAAGCCCCGGCCAACUACGUGCCAGCAGCCGCCGUAA